UGCUACGCGUCCACUGUGCGGUUCCCGAACCACCAACACCACACCCCACGGGGUGCCCCAGUGUGUUGACAGUUCAACAGAGUUACGGCGGUCACAGCGAAGGGGAAACGCCCGGUCCCAUACCGAACCCGGAAGCUAAGCCCUUCAGCGCCGAUGGUACUGCCCUGGAGACGGGGUGGGAGAGUAGGACGCCGCCGGAC
rnacentral:rRNA from 1 species